rnacentral:rRNA from 1 species
AUGAAGUUGGAAUCGCUAGUAAUCGCGGAUCAGCAUGCCGCGGUGAAUACGUUCCCGGGCCUUGUACACACCGCCCGUCACACCAUGAGAGUCGGGAACACCCGAAGUCCGUAGCCUGACCGCAAGGGGGGCGGCGGCCGAAGGUGGGUUCGAUAAUUGGGGUGAAGUCGUAACAAGGUAGC